ACUCAUAUGAUUGGACAAAGAAGUGAUUUCAUUAUGGAUAUAACAAAUUAGGCCUAUAAGUACAAACAUUUUAUAAUUAUGUCCUUUGACCAUGAUACAGAGAAAAAUUGGUUGGGUAUGAACCAUGAAAGAAUUACAAGAUAGGAGUGGUUGGGUAUGAACCAUGAAAGAAUUACAAGAUAGGAGAAAGAGAAAUACUAGAAAGUUUCUUAACCCCUGGUAUGGUAACUGAGAAUAGGUAUGCAGCUUUACGAAUGCCAAUAUCCAUGACACUAGUAGAUGGACCAAAUAACCAUCUUCUGGCAGUCCAUGUUAAAGCUGAGAAUGAACUAUGGGAACUUGACCAAACAUGCAGACCAAAG
rnacentral:lncRNA from 1 species